UGCCAAGAUAUUCCGCCGCAUCCU
rnacentral:siRNA from 1 species